rnacentral:rRNA from 1 species
GACGAACGCUGGCGGCGUGCUUAACACAUGCAAGUCGAGCGGUAAGGCCCUUUCGGGGGUACACGAGCGGCGAACGGGUGAGUAACACGUGGGUGACCUGCCCUCAGCUCUGGGAUAAGCCUGGGAAACCGGGUCUAAUACUGGAUAUGACUCCAUAACGCAUGUUGUGGGGUGGAAAGCCUUGUGCGGCUGAGGAUGGGCCCGCGGCCUAUCAGCUUGUUGGUGGGGUGAUGGCCUACCAAGGCGACGACGGGUAGCCGGCCUGAGAGGGCGACCGGCCACACUGGGACUGAGACACGGCCCAGACUCCUACGGGAGGCAGCAGUGGGGAAUCUUGCGCAAUGGGCGAAAGCCUGACGCAGCGACGCCGCGUGAGGGAUGACGGCCUGGUGUAAC